UGGGGAAUCUUAGACAAUGGGCGCAAGCCUGAUCUAGCCAUGCCGCGUGAGCGAUGAAGGCCUUAGGGUUGUAAAGCUCUUUCAGUGGGGAAGAUAAUGACUGUACCCACAGAAGAAGCCCCGGCUAACUCCGUGCCAGCAGCCGCGGUAAUACGGAGGGGGCUAGCGUUGUUCGGAAUUACUGGGCGUAGAGCGCACGUAGGCGGACCAGAAAGUAGGGGGUGAAAUCCCGGGGCUCAACCUCGGAACUGCCUUCUAAACUCCUGGUCUUGGGUUCGAGAGAGGUGAGUGGAAUUCCGAGUGUAGAGGUGAAUUUCGUAGAUAUUCGGAGGAACACCAGUGGCGAAGGCGGCUCACUGGCUCGAUACUGACGCUGAGGUGCGAAAGCGUGGGGAGCAAACA
rnacentral:rRNA from 1 species